GGUACCAGCCCAUCGCACCUCAAGAUAUGUUGUAAAGUGCCUGGCUGUUCCUGUUAAGUCUGGAGAGUGUAAUCAUGCAUAGUAAACCCACAAAAUAAUAUAGGGAUCACCUGCCUCCUCUUUCCCAAAAGCUGGAGUGAGAGGAGAGAAAGGGUAUGGAAAGAGACAGAAAGACUCACUUGUAGACGGUCCCUCCGUUGCCAUGACCGAGGAUGUCCCGAUAUCGUAUGUCUUGUUCAUUCAUCUCCACGAGGAAGAAAGAAAAACAAAAGAGAUGUCAUGCCGUGGAUGGAAGUGUCAAGGAAAAGCAACUCUAGGCCAUAAACAACCAGCCGUCUGGGUCAUUUCAAGUUCAGCUGCAAGAACGAGGAGAUCAAUACAACAUUUGCUGUCCAAUUUAUAAAAGACAAUACCAAGGGACAAAGUGAUGGAAAGUUUAAUGACAA